rnacentral:rRNA from 1 species
UACAGGGGGGGCAAGCGUUGUUCGGAAUUACUGGGCGUAAAGGGUCUGUAGGUGGCCAACUAAGUCAGACGUGAAAUCCCUCAGCUUAACUGGGGAACUGCGUCUGAUACUGGAUGGCUCGAGUGUGGGAGAGGAAUGCGGAAUUCCAGGUGUAGCGGUGAAAUGCGUAGAUAUCUGGAGGAAUACCGGUGGCGAAGGCGGCAUCCUGGACCAUAACUGACGCUGAGGCGCGAAAGCUAGGGGAGCAAACGGG